rfam:Gossypium raimondii Chr09_contig_1491, whole genome shotgun sequence.
AUUUCUUUUAACAUAUCAGGAAGUCGAAUUGGCAGUGAAGAAAGAAGCAAAAAGUUGAAAGCCAUCAUUGCCUAUAACCAAAACCCAUAAACUCAUACCAUGCUUUUUUCUUCACUGUCAAUUUGACUUCCUGAUAUGUUAAAAGAAAU